rnacentral:lncRNA from 1 species
CUUGCCUCACCGUUCGACUUCUCAUUUCACACCAUUCGACCUCACUUCCCCCUGUCUCUAUAUUCGGCCUCACUUCCCUUUGCCUCACCGUUCGACUUCUCCUCUCAUGCAUCGUUCGGCCUCACUUUCCCCUGUCUCUCUGUUCGGCCUCAGUUCCCCCUUGCCUUACCGUUCGACUUAUCCUUUCAUGCACCGUUCGACCUUACUUUCCCCUGCCUUACCGUUUGAUAUUAGGUUAAUUCCCUCCUCUUUUAUUCCUAACACAAAACCACUUCGAAUUAGAUCUUGGAGAUCCC